AUGGAUACUUGUUUGAUGCAACUUCUGGAAACUCUAGGGAGUACAACCCCAGCCUACCCCAUUUGUUCACAGUUCGAUUCAGAUCAGCAGGUUUCCCACCAAGCUAUAUCACUUCCAUUUUAUCUGGAUUAAGCCUCUGCUGACAUCCAUCCCAGAACUGCCUCCAGACAUCCUGAUGGCGAGGAAGUGAAAAACAGCACGAAGGAGUUGGAAGAGAGAAAAUAAGCAAUCCUGUCAAACUUUGGCCCCAUUUACUUUUGCCUCAGUCACACCCACUACCAGUAUGCAGCCUGACAAAUUACCCAACGAAAUGCUGCCCUCACUCGAGAAAAAAGUGUCUCUACUCUUGCUGUCAGAGGAGCUAUUUCCCAUAUAUAUAUUGCUUUCACUGGAUUGGAGCAAUUACUAUCAGUUCCCAGAUUUUGUUAACUGUGAAUUUUAGCAUGUUUAUGUUUUCCUUAUUUUAAUGUUACUGGAUCAAAGUGUUCAUGUAGUUUUGGGUUUUUGAGUCUCCACUGUUGCAGGAUACAAAUGCCAGAUGAUUUGGUCUAAACUAUAGGUUGUUGUUUUUUUCUUUAAAAAGAUUGCAUCUGGAUUAAAAUACUUUAAAGAAUUUAUGGCCUAGAAAAAAUAUGGAAUUUGCUUUCUAGAAUUUAUUAGAGA